rnacentral:rRNA from 1 species
CACGUAGGGGGCAAGCGUUUGUCCGGAUUUAUUGGGCGUAAAGAGCUCGUAGGUGGUUCGGUAAGUCAGGUGUGAAACCUCCAGGCUCAACCUGGAGACGCCACUUGAUACUGCUGUGACUGGAGUCCGGUAGGGGAGCGUGGAAUUCCUGGUGUAGCGGUGAAAUGCGCAGAUAUCAGGAGGAACACCGAUGGCGAAGGCAGGUCUCUGGGCCACUACUGACGCUGAGAAGCGAAAGCAUGGGGAGCGAACAGG